rnacentral:rRNA from 1 species
AAAAGGUACCUCGGGGAUAACAGGCUGAUCUUGCCCAAGAGUCCAUAUCGACGGCAUGGUUUGGCACCUCGAUGUCGGCUCGUCGCAUCCUGGGGCUGGAGUCGGUCCCAAGGGUUGGGCUGUUCGCCCAUUAAAGCGGUACGCGAGCUGGGUUCAGAACGUCGUGAGACAGUUCGGUCCCUAUCCGCUGCGCGCGUUGGAAAUUUGAGAAAGGCUGUCCUUAGUACGAGAGGACCGGGACGGACGAACCUCUGGUAUGUCAGUUGUACCGCCAGGUGCAUGGCUGAUUGGCUACGUUCGGGAGGGAUAACCGCUGAAAGCAUCUAAGCGGGAAGCCUGUUUCGAGAUGAGAUUUCCUGGCACUUUGGUGUGUGAGGCUCCUUAUAGAUGAUGAGGUUGAUAGGCCGGGUAUGGAAGCGAGGACUGAAGACUCGUGGAGUUGACUGGUACUAAUAGGCCGAAGGCUUACUUUU